UACGUAGGGUGCGAGCGUUGUCCGGAAUUAUUGGGCGUAAAGAGCUUGUAGGCGGUUUGUCGCGUCUGCUGUGAAAAUCCGGGACUCAACCCCGGACCUGCAGUGGGUACGGGCAGACUAGAGUGUGGUAGGGGAGACUGGAAUUCCUGGUGUAGCGGUGAAAUGCGCAGAUAUCAGGAGGAACACCGAUGGCGAAGGCAGGUCUCUGGGCCACUACUGACGCUGAGAAAGCGGAAAGACAUGGGGAGCGAACAGG
rnacentral:rRNA from 1 species